UUCCUGACUUGGAGAAGGAGAUUUCUUUCUGUGUCCUCACAUGGUAGAGAGAAAGAGAGAGAGAGAGCAACCUCGAUGGUAUCUCAUCUUAUUAGGGCACCAGUUUCAUCAAGAGGGCAUCAUCUUCAUGGCCUCAUCUAAACCUAAUUAACUCCAAAAGGCCCCAUGUCCCAACACCAUCACAUUGGGGGCUUAGGACUACAACAUAUGAAUUUUGUGGAGUCACAAACAUUGUCUGCAACACUGGAUAAGAACAAGAGAUGAGCAUUAGACAAGAAAUUUUCUUCUUUAGAUCGUAAAAGUACACACUCUUUGUUUUACAAAGAAAGCAUAAGAAGUAAAACUUGGUUGAAAUUUAUAUGUGGGUUUCUUUGGAGAAAAUCCUAUUUACUUUCAAAAAAGUGUCUGAUCUCAGACAAAUUAAACCUUCCUGUGGGCUGACCUUCUGUCAGGUCCUGUUGUGUGUGAUAAGACAGACGAGCUCAAAGAAAAAGCAUUAGACUUUUAUCCUGAGUGAUUUUGUUGCACUUUCCCAGAAUUCAUGCACAGAGAGCCUACAUAAUGAAUAAAUAUCAAUACAUUGGUCGAUAUUUAUGAAAUGCUGCUGGAUACCCAGUCCUAUUCUGGUUGCUCAUGGUUGUGGUGGUGUUGUGGGUGGGAAUCAAGAUAGAUUCACUGGCCUUGAACAGUUUACAGGUUGAUGGAGGAAAGCAUUUGUUGCUCUAGCUCUCACCCAUGUAUAUGUCUAUGAUUUGUUUUGCCGGCUUUAUACAGAAUCCUCAGGUUCCCCCUCAUUUAAUGUGCAAAAUGAAGAUUCUGACAACUAAAAACAAAUUGUUUAGGUGGAUGCAUUCUCAAGAAGAGAAGAAUAAAAAUAAUAUCAAUGUUUUUGCUUCGUAGUAUCCCCCUUCAUAUAUUAUAUGCAGCAUACAUAAUUUUUCAUGGGAAACUAGAUGAAAGAAUUAGGAUUAGAGGGUUUAUGACUUCUUUCAUUUCUUUAUCAUCAGACUCUGAAAGAAACUAAUACCUAUUUACGUGAAGAAAAUGUACAAUUUCUUUAGCUGUCACGGAAAUGUGGUUUAAAAAUAUCUAGUGUGCUCUGCAAAAGCCUUGGCUGAGCUGUGAGAGCAGUCACUUGCCUGUCAGAUGUCUAAUUAUUUCUCCCUCCUCCUCAACCACGCCAGUAGCAGGGAACCACUGAGACCAUAUUGUUGCCCAUAUGUCGGAAAGCUACUAAAUUAAACCCCUGUGUAACAUGCUGACAAGUCUAAUGCAGUAGUUGGAGAUUUGGGGAAUGGGUAGUCUUUCCUUUGGAGAAGAACAAAAAGCUGGACAAACAGACAAAAAAGCAACAAAAAUACUGGACAACUAAAGAUUUCUCAAAUCUUGCUCCACAGGACACUGAUGUUCCUCUAAAUGUUAGUAGUCUACAGGAUAUCAGAAUUCUAAGAAAAACUUGGAAAUCAUGUUCAGGACUAUACAGGACUUUAAAAGCUUUAUCUUCCCAAACUGAAAACCAGACCUCUCAAGUCUAGCUGCUCUCCUCCAGGUGCUGCAUAAAUGGACCUGGUCUUUGGCUACCUUACUUUGGAUCACUUGGUUGAAACAGUUCCCUUAGUCAACUUGUCCACUGGACUUAAGCUGUGGGACACAGAAAUUUUCCCUGGAAGAACAGAACAAUGAAGAUGAAUAGUUGAAAAAUGAGAUGACAUGAUUAUAUAUUUAGAAAACCCCAUCGUCUCAGCCCAAAAUCUCCUUAAGCGGAUAAACAACUUCAGCAAAGUCUCAGGAUACAAAAUUGAUGUGCAAAAAUCACAAACAUUCCUAUAUAUCAAUAAUAGACAGAGAGACAAAUCAUGAGUGAACUCCCAUUCACAAUUGCUACAAAGGGAAUAAAAUACCUAGGAAUACAACUUACAAGGGAUGUGAAGGGCCUCUUUAAGGAGAACUAGAAACCACUGCUCAAGAAAAUACAAGACGACACAAACAAAUGGAAAAAUAUUCCAUGCUCAUGGAUUGGAAGAACCAAUAUUGUGAAAAUGGCCAUGCUGCGCAAAGUAAUUUAUAGAUGCAAUGCUAUCCCCAUUAAGCUACCAUUGACUUUCUUCAGAGAAUUAGAAAAACUACUUCAAAUUUCAUAUAGAACAAAAAAAGUGCCCAUGUAGCCAAGACAAUCCUAAGCAAAAAGAGCAAAGCUGGAGGCAUCAUGCUACCUGACUUCAAACUAUACUACAAGGCUAUAGUAACCAAAACAGCAUGGUACUGGUACCAAAACAGAUAUAUAGACUAAUGAAACAGAACAGAGGCCUCAAUAAUAACACUACACGUCUACAACCAUCUGAUCUUUGACAAACCUGACAAAAACAAGCAAUGGGGAAAGGAUUCCAUAUUUAAUAAAUGGUGUUGGGAAAACUGGCUAGCCACAUGCAGAAAACUGAAACUGGAAUCCUUCCAUACACCUUAUACAAAAAUUAACUCAAGAUGGAUUAAAGACUUAAAUGGAAGACCUAAAAUCCUAAAAACCUUAGAAGACAACCUAGGCAAUAACAUUCAGGACAUAGGCAUGGGGAAAGACUUCAUGAUUAAAACACCAAAAGCAAUGACAAAAAAAGCCAAAAUUGACAAAUGGGAUCUAAUUAAACUAAAGAGCUUCUGUACAGCAAAAGAAACUAUCCUCAGAGUGAACAGGCAACCUACAGAAUGGGAGAAAAUUUUUGCACUCUAUCCAUCUUACAAAGGGCUAAUAUCCAGAAUCUACAAAAAAGUUAAACAGAUUUACAAGGAAAAAACAAACAAACAAUCCCAUCAAAAAGUGGGCGAAGGUUAUGAACAGACACUUCUCAAAGGAAGACAUUUAUGCAGUCAGCAAACAUAUGAGAAAAAGCUUAUCAUCAGUGGUCAUCCGAGAAAUGCAAAUCAAAACCACAAUGAGAUACCAUCUCACACCAGUUACAAUGGUGAUCAUUAAAAAGUCAGGAAACAACAGAUGCUGGAGAGGAUGUGGAGAAAUAGGAACACUUUUACAUUGUUGAUGGGAGUGUAAUUUAGUUCAACCAUUGUGGAAGACACUGUGGCGAUUCCUCAAGGAUCUAGAACCAGAAAUACCAUUUGACCCAGCAAUCCCAUUAGUGGGUAUAUACCCAAAGGAUUAUAAAUCAUUCUCCUAUAAAGACACAUGCACACAUAUGUUUAUUGCAGCACUAUUGACAAUAGCAAAACUUGGAACCAACCCAAAUGCUCAUUAAUGAUAGACUGGAUAAAGAAAAUAUGGCACAUAUACACCGUGGAAUACUAUGCAGCCAUAAAAAGGAUGAGUUCAUGUCUUUUGCAGAGGCACGGGUGAAGCUGGAAACCAUCAUUCUCAGCAAACUAAUACAGGAACAGAAAACCAAACACCGCAUGUUCUUAGUUGUAAGUGGGAGUUGAACAAUGAGAACACAGGGACACAGGGAGGGGAACAUCACACACCGGGGCCUGUUGGGGGGUGGGGGCCUAGGGGAGGGAUAGCAUUAGGAGAAAUACCUAAUGUAGAUGACGGGUUGAUGGGUGCAGCAAACCACCAUGGCACGUGUAUACCUAUGUAACAAACCUGUACAUUCUGCGCAUGGAUCCCAGAACUUAAAGUAUAAUAAUAAUAAUAAUAAUAAUAAAAGAAAAUGACCCUCAAAAAAAGAAUAAUUCCUCAUAUGAUUAUGAUUAUGAUUAAAUGAGAUAAUAUAUACAAGGUAAUUUGUAUACUUAAAGUGAUGAACAUCAGAUAGAUAACACAACAUUUUAUUUUUAUUUACUUGUUUAUUUUUAAUAUAUACUUUUUAUCUCAGUAACUUGGGGGGUACAAGUGGUUUUUUUGUAUUCAGAUAAAUUCUAUAGUUGUGAACUCUAAUUUUACUGUACUCAUGAGCCAAAUAGUGUACAUUGUACCCAAUAUGUAGUUUUUUUUUUAUUUCUCACCCCCCUCCCACCCUUCCCCUUCUGUGUCUCCCGUGUCCACUGUAACAAUCUGUAUGCCUUUGUGUGCCCAUACCUUAGCCCCCACUUAUAAUGAAAACAUACAGUAUUUGGUUUUUUAUUCCCGAGUUACUUCAUUAACAAUAAUGGCUUCCAGUUUCAUCCAAGUUGAUGCAAAAGACAUUAUUUCAUUAUUAUUAUUAUGUUUUUGUAAAACCAUCUAAACUUAUAGUUUAUUUUUGGCAAGGUUUUUAAACAAUAAACUCAAUUUCUCUAACAGA